GCUAAGCUUAUGGAAGAAAAUGUUGGUGCUGCAAUGCAGUUUCUCCAAUCAAAGGCUCUAUGCAUAAUGCCUGUCUCUCUGGCCACAGCAAUUUACCAUGCGCAGCCACCGGAAACCUCAACUAUUUUAAAACCAGAAACAAAUCCCCAGUCAUAGACCUUACUAAGGGGUAAGCAUCCCAUAGACCUAUCUAAAAGUCGCCAAAUGCUUGGGGUCCUGCAUCGUGUUUGUCCCGUUCCAACUCCCACAAAUAGAUGUUCGCUAAUUUUUCAAAUUGCAAUCAAAGUCAGAUGCCAUAGUUCUUUGCUUUUGCCUUUCCUUUCCAGCUUUUUUUCAAGACAGGGUUCGAUAUCAAUGCCUAAAAAAAUGCAGGCAGGCCCUUGAUGUUCUGCCAAGUUCAAGUGAAAGAGAAGAAUUGUCAAAGCUCAUUUGAUACGCUCUUCUUUAUGGUAUCAGUGGUGGGGAUAGUGGGAAAUGAUGGAGCACUUUUCUAGUGAUUUUCGGUAGUGGCUGUGGGACCUUGUAAAAAGGGGAAGAGGG
rnacentral:misc_RNA from 1 species